CCUACGGGAGGCUGCAGUGGGGGAUAUUGCACAAUGGGGGAAACCCUGAUGCAGCGACGCCGCGUGGGCGAAGAAGUAUUUCGGUAUGUAAAGCCCUAUCAGCAGGGGAGCAGAAAUGACGGUACCUGAGUAAGAAGCACCGGCUAAAUACGUACCAGCAGCCGCGGUCAUACGGAUGGUGGAAGCGGUAUCCGGGUUUACUGGGUGUAACGGGAGCGCAGGCGGCACGGCAAGCCUGAUGUGAAAGACCGCGGCCCAAACGCGGGACUGCCUUGGGAACUACCGGGCUGGAGUGACGGAGAGGUAGGCGGAAUGCCUAGUGUAGCGGUGAAAUGCGUAGAUAUUAGGAGGAACACCAGUGGCGAAGGCGGCCUACUGGACGGUGACUGACGCUGAGGCUCGAAAGCGUGGGGAGCAAACAGGAUUAGAUACCCGAGUAGUC
rnacentral:rRNA from 1 species